GCCUGGUUAGCUCAGUCAGUUGAGUGUGGUGCUGAUAACACCAAGGUCGCAGGUUUGAUCCCUGCUCAGUCC
rnacentral:tRNA from 1 species